rnacentral:misc_RNA from 1 species
CAAAAAUUCUUUCACUUGGACUGAGGAAUCUUCUAAGUAUUUGAAAAACUAAAGACAACCAUGAAUACCACACCAGUGUUAGCACUUCCAGACUUUUCUCAAUCUUUUAAGAACUUCUAUUGGACUAGAAUGAAAUCUCUCAUUCGAGACUUUGUUCAGGCUUGUAGUAUUUUCCAAAGACACAAAAUAGAGACCCUCCAACUUGCAGGUCUUCUCCAACCUUUACCAGUGCCAAAACAGAUUUGGUCAGAUAUUUCGCUACACUUCGUCGAAGGUCUACCCCUUUCUCAUGGUAAAAGUGUUAUUCUGGUAGUUGUUGAUCGUUUUUCAAAAUAUUGCAAUCUAUUACCAGUUGCUCAUCCAUAUUUGACUGUUAGUAUUGCCUGCAUCUUCUUUGACAAUAUUUUUAAAUUACACGGCUCAUCGGAGACAAUGGUGAGUGGCAGGGAUGUCACAUUUGCAAGUGCCUUUUGAAAAGAACUUUUUCGGCUUAGUGACACUAAAUUAUGUUUUACUUUAGCAUAUCAUCUACAAUCCAAUAGCCAGACAAAAGUAGUAAAUCGUACAUUGCACAGUGGAAAUGUAUUUACGAUGUUUUAUGAGUGCUUACCCAACUAAAUGGAUGGAUUGGUUAUCUUGGGUAGAAUAUUCUUAUAAUUCUAAUUUCCAUUCAUCAUUAUUAACCACUCCAUUUGAGGUAGUCUAUGGGCGUCCACCUCCACGUCUCUUGUCCUACUACCCUGGAGUCUCAAAAUUGGACGCCGUGGAAAAGGCCCUCAAGUCUAGGGAUGAGAUGUUAGCCUCAUUAAAACAGAACUUGCUGCAUGCGCAAAACAAAAUGGAGUGUGUGUGAUGCCAAACAUUAGAAACUGGAAUUUCAAGUUGGAGAUAUGGUUCUUUUGCGCCUACAACCUUAUCGCCAAUUGUCCAUGGCAAAUCGUCAUCAUCAAAAACUUUUACCGAAGUUUUAUGGCCCUUUCACAAUUGUGCAACGUAUUGGAAAUAUGGCUUAUUAGUUGGACUUACCGCCGGAGACUAAAAUUCAUCCGGUGUUUCAUGUCUCAUGUUUAAAGGUAUUUCACGAUGGCAAUAGUCCAGCAAUUUCUACUCUUCCAAAAGUUUUUCUAGAAAUUUCAGACCAGAUAUCUUUAGUAGUUAUUGAUCGUCGAACCAACCGUAAUAUUCUUGUGGUCUUAAUUCUUUGGCAAAAUACUUCUCUACCAGACGCAUCUUGGGAUGCUGUAUCAUCAAUGCAGCAACGAUUCCCAAACUUUUUGCUUGAGGACAAGCAUCAUUUGGAGGACGGGAGUAAUGCUAGCGCUACAUCAGCUAACAGUGGCACAACAGAUAAGGUUGAUCCAAAUGGGCCAGCAGAAGCGAAUCCUAAUCUCAUAAGGUACAAGAGAUUCACACAUGGAAAGUCUAGAAGACAUCAACAUCAGAUGGCAUCAAGAUAAAUUACCAGAAUUUUAACUAAAUAAAAACCAGGAUCAGAUCAUUCCUGUCUUGAAUUUAUCUUAUCAUUUAGUUGUCAAUUUAUGUUUUAGAGAUAAUUUUCAAUUUCUUGUUUUAAGGAUGGUUAUACCAUCAUGCUGUAUUUAAAGGCAGUCUAGUUUAAUAAAAGAUCAUCAAGAAAUUCAUUCAGUUUUUGAGUACUUAAAACUCAAAAGAUUUCAGGUUCCCUUUAAUGAUCCUGGUUUACAAUCAUAGGUCAGAAAAAGAAAACUUCUCCUUCAACACCUUCCUUCCCACUAAUUAACCCUCUGCAAGUUGUUAACAGAUCUGUAACUUGAUCCGUUGCACGGGACCUUAACACUAUUCCUCA